UACGUAGGGGGCAAGCGUUGUCCGGAAUCAUUGGGCGUAAAGAGCGUGUAGGCGGCCCGAUAAGUCCGCUGUGAAAGUCCAGGGCUCAACCCUGGAAUGCCGGUGGAUACUGUCGGGCUCGAAUCCGGAAGAGGUGAGUGGAAUUCCUGGUGUAGCGGUGAAAUGCGCAGAUAUCAGGAGGAACACCAAUAGCGAAGGCAGCUCGCUGGGACGGUAUUGACGCUAAGGCGCGAAAGCGUGGGGAGCAAACAGG
rnacentral:rRNA from 1 species